rnacentral:tRNA from 1 species
GGGAGUAUAGCUCAGUGGUGAAGCGUGUGCUUGGCAUGCACGAGAUGCUGGGUUCAAUCCCCAGUGCCUCUA